UUGUAUCAUGAGAGGAAUCUGAUAAAUAAUGGGCAAGUUUAGAUUGAUGAACUUUAGGGGUUGGGUACCCUCCAGGAUUCAGCAUUUCUUCCAGUUGUUCACGGUUUGUUCUAAAUUAGGACAGAUUAGAGGAAUCAAAUAUUGUUACAUUUCAAUGAAUAUUACAAUAUUCUAAUGUCUUUUAUGAACACAGGAACAUUGAUUCUUUGUGACUAGGGUAGGCAGUUCUGACCAAUAGAUAAAAUAACAUCUGUGGUCUCUGCUAUUUCCAGUUAUCUGUAAUCCACAUAAAGACACACACAGCUUAAACAAUUUUGACUUUGAAUUGUGAAAUAUAUUAGAAAAUAAAAGUAUAAUUUAUACAGUUGAGCAAAUUGGAGCAAACAUUGAGGUUUUUUUCAUUUUUUUAUUCACAGAGACGAUUAUCUUUUCUAAAUAAUAUUAUGACAGUAACACUCUCAGAAUAGAUUUACUGCUGACUGAAAGUACACAUUUUAAGGACCUCUUAAGAUUUCUUGACAUUGUAAUAAAAUACUAGUGAUGAAAGUAUCUAUAUAGACCCAGUGCUAGAUUUUCAGUGAGGAAAAAUGUGAGGAGAACAUGUUGGCUAUUUUUAAGUUUCUAAAAAGAUAUUUGCAUGUAAUAGUAUUGAGUAUCAUGGGUAUAGUUUGACCUUCACAUACACUUUGAGAAUCAUACCCAAAAGAUUUGCAUUCACAAAGCCAGUGAACAAUGGGAUGAAAUGGCUGAAAUAUCUCCUUGGAACACAGGACCCAAUUUAAAAUUUUUUCUCUGGAUAUCAAAUGGCUGGUCACUUUUUCAGGAUUCUCAUCCAAACUAUGUUUGGACUGACUGUAUAAGUCUUACUGCCUUUUCAGAAAUCUGCUUUCCUUUUUGUGCUUUUUCUUGUACUGUAUAGCACGGUUCAUGCACCUCUCUUUAGAUGGUGUACUUUAAAAACAAAAGUAAAUUUUAGAAAAUGAUUUUUAACACUGCAUACCUAAAAUUAGUAGUGUGCAUCAUUGACUGCCUUUGAUUUGUAGUAGACAUGUAAAAAUGAACACGUUCUUGUAGAAUGCUGUCAAAGUCAUUCAGGACUGAAUAUGGUUUCAUUACCGUAAUCAUGAACCUUUUUACAUGAACGCACUCUCUAGAAGUGCAAAUUGUGAUGCAUUUUCAAAUUGAAAAAAUUCUUCAGAUGUAUUUGAAAUGUCUAAAAUAAUGCUGUGCUUGAAACA
rnacentral:lncRNA from 1 species